AUCCAGACUCCUACGGGAGGCAGCAGUGGGGAAUAUUGCACAAUGGGCGCAAGCCUGAUGCAGCCAUGCCGCGUGUAUGAAGAAGGCCUUCGGGUUGUAAAGUACUUUCAGCGGGGAGGAAGGUGUUGUGGUUAAUAACCACAGCAAUUGACGUUACCCGCAGAAGAAGCACCGGCUAACUCCGUGCCAGCAGCCGCGGUAAUACGGAGGGUGCAAGCGUUAAUCGGAAUUACUGGGCGUAAAGCGCACGCAGGCGGUUGAUUGAGUCAGAUGUGAAAUCCCCGGGCUUAACCCGGGAAUUGCAUCUGAUACUGGUCAGCUAGAGUCUUGUAGAGGGGGGUAGAAUUCCAUGUGUAGCGGUGAAAUGCGUAGAGAUGUGGAGGAAUACCGGUGGCGAAGGCGGCCCCCUGGACAAAGACUGACGCUCAGGUGCGAAAGCGUGGGGAGCAAACAGGAUUAGAUACCCGUAC
rnacentral:rRNA from 1 species